AAAAAGUCAUUUAAUCAAAGAAAAACAUUAAAGUUUUUGCUUUGAUUUUCCUAACGUUCAUAAACAAUUUAUAUGUUUAUAUUGUAUUUUGUGUUUUUUUUUUUAAUGUUAAUAAGUGUUUCAUAAAUAAUUUUUGUCUCUAUGUCCUCACUAAGCCUAUGCUCCUUUGAGAGUAAUUUAUUGUGUACGAAGAAAUGCGAAGAUGGAUUUCAU
rnacentral:lncRNA from 1 species